CGUAGGGUGCAAGCGUUAAUCGGAAUUACUGGGCGUAAAGCGUGCGCAGGCGGUUUUGUAAGACAGGCGUGAAAUCCCCGGGCUCAACCUGGGAAUUGCGCUUGUGACUGCAAGGCUGGAGUGCGGCAGAGGGGGAUGGAAUUCCGCGUGUAGCAGUGAAAUGCGUAGAUAUGCGGAGGAACACCGAUGGCGAAGGCAAUCCCCUGGGCCUGCACUGACGCUCAUGCACGAAAGCGUGGGGAGCAAACAGGA
rnacentral:rRNA from 1 species